rnacentral:ncRNA from 1 species
GAAUAGGAAAAGGGGAGCUAAAUGAAUUUGGCUGAGAGGGAGCUAUUCUGCUCCGACCCAUAACCUGAUCUGGAUAAUGCCAGCGGAGGGAAAAAUAUAUGGAUGAAC